AUGCCACCAGAUUUGAGGCUAUGCUUUGCUUAUUAUUGUGCAGUCUUCCCAACUGGCCACAACAUAGUCAAAGAUGACCUGGUUCAUCAAUGGAUUGCUCUGCACCUCAUUGAGCCAUCUGAAACAUUGUCUGCCGCACAGAUAGCAGAGGAGCAUAUUACCAGGCUUCAGAACAUGUCAUUCCUUCAAACUGCAGAGCUGGACCACGCCAGUGGAGCCAAUAAGGGUGCAAUUUUGUUGACUAUGCACGGUGUGGUGCACAACCUCGCGACAACGUUCCUAGAAAGUUCAAGCUACCAUCUAGCCACCAAUCAUCAUGGGAAACUUGAUGUGCCUUAUGGUAAGUACAUAAGAGCACUGCGCUGUGUCGGCUGUAGCAACGUGGAGUUUAAAGGUGGCUCAUUUCCACAUGAGAAGUGGCUACGUGUCCUGGAACUAACGGAGAGCUCCGUGCUGAAGCUACCGGACUACAUCUUGCAACUGAAGCACCUGGGGUAUCUUAAGAUAUCAAAAUUUACUGGACUGGUAACUCUUCCAGAGUCUGUUGGGCAUCUGAAAAAUCUGUUCCAUAUUGACUUAUCAGGAUGCUCCAGGCUUGCAGCUCUUCCGGAAUCAUUUGGAGAUCUCGUAAACUUAACCCAUGUCAAUCUGUCACGAUGCCAUGGACUGACAGAGCUUCCAGAACCACUCCAGAAGCUUGGCAAACUGGUACACCUGGAUUUAUCAUUCUGGUCUUGUUUUGAAGGUAUUGGGGAACGCCUUGGUGGCCUCACCAAUCUGGAGCAUUUGAACUUGUCGCACCCUUGCUGUCAUCUUGUUCAGCACCGUUCCGAUCUCCAGGGUCUGAAAGAUGGUCUGUGCAAGCUCACCAAACUCCGGUAUCUGAACUUGUCAGCGUGCCUGAAUCCUAUCUUUUACUACCACCAGUCACAAGAGGACAGUCUCAAAUUCCUUGGAGAGUGUGUCAGCGGUCUUUCCAGCCUAGAACAUUUGGACCUGUCUCAUCAUACAUUUCUUUUUGGUUACCUGCGAGUCUUGGUGAGCUCAGCAGGCUACACACACUGGAUCUUUCAGGCUGCAUCAGAAUCAGGAAGGUAGGUGAAACGAAGUGUCUCAAGAUUAUAAUAGAUCCGAGCAAAUGCCGGGGUCUGGAAAGUUGCCAAUUUGUGGUCCGUGUUGAUGAAGCGGCAUACAGAAGCACGAGCAACCUUGCUCAGCUUGAGGUUGUGGACUGUAAAGAGCUGGGGAUAAGCUGCCUUGAGAGGCUGCAGUGUUUGGAGGAAGCGCAGAGGAUAAGAUUAGUUCAGAAACAAAAGGUUGAAAGGUUGAAGCUUUGUUGGACAGUUGGUGAAGCUAGAGGAUCUAUGAAGGUGGAUGAAAAUGCUUUGUUAGGAGAGCUAGUGCCACCGCAUUCUCUUCGGUGCCUCGAGAUAUGUGGCUAUGGUGGGGAAACCUGCCUCCCUGCCUGGCGGAUACCAAGCGUAUCAUCUCAUCUCUGUAAUCUUACAGAGGUCACUAUGGAGGACUUCCCGAGGUGUGUGGCCCUGCCGCCGCUGGGUCUAUUUCCAAACCUCCAGCGCCUUGUUCUCAGAAGGAUGGCCAGAAUCACAACGAUUGAUGCCGGUGCACUGAGUGGAGGGAACAUAGAGGCAUUCACUCGAGUCUCUAAGUUCACUAUAGAUGAUAUGGAGAACCUGAAAGAGUUUAAGUUUGCUGCCGUUGAUGAGCUUGCGAUUCAGAAAUGCCCCUUGUUGAGCUUUGGAUCUCUACCGCCCAGAGCUCACAGGUUGCUAAUAUCAGACUCUGACCAAGUGAUGUCUUCAUCGGUCAGAGCAAUAGAUGGUGUGGAAGGCCCUUCUUCUCCGGUAACAGAACUGGUGGUCGAGACCUGCAAUUUGCCUCUAGGUGACUGGAGUUUGCUUCACCACCUCCCUGGACUCUGCAGCUUGACUAUCAAUAACUGUUACAGUCUAACCAGCUCACCGGAGAUUAUCAGCGCCCUAUCCUCUCUCCAGUCACUAUGUUUCUCUCAGUGCCAUGAGCCUAUGGAAUCACUACCAGCGUUCUUGUGUGACCUCACCUCUCUCCAGCAACUUGCGAUCGAUGAGUGCCAUGGCAUUCAAUCUUUGACGGAGGACAUGUUAGCCAAGCUCACUGGCCUCAAAGCUCUGUAUAUUUGGGACUGUCCUGAGCUGAAGAAGUGGUGUGAAACAGAGGAGAACAAACAGAAGCUUGCUCACAUCCGAAUAAAUUUUGAGAAAUUUGAUACCAGGAAGACUGGCGUGCAUCCUCCAGAAAUAUAAAAGAAGUGUCUCAGUUCUGCAUUAGUGAGCAUUAGCCACUGGAACAGUACCGCAAGACCGUCGGCAUUUCCUUAGUGGAUCCAUGAUGAACUGAUCACUGUCCUCUAGUAUGAUGGAAACUUUGCGCCAGAAAUCCAAUUUUUCAUUAGAGUACAAUUUAAUUUGUGUUCAUCUGCGGACACUUGUGUCCACAAAAGCAUGAUUUCAGACACCUUUGUUUGUUUUUUUAUCCUUGAAAGUGGCGUUGUACUUAGAAGCUGCAUAUCUGUUGUUUCAUGCUAUUCAGACAAGACAGAUUAAA
rnacentral:rRNA from 1 species